UCCUGUGUCGGGCUGGCUCCUAAUUGGGCGGCUUGGGAAUUUUCCCCAAAGAAGUACGGGGUAACUGAUUUCGGGAACCCAACUCCAUGCUUUGGCUUCUGUGCAGGGAAACGUGAGUACGAACACCCUUGCCAAGGCGCUGGGUUUAAAACCCAGACCAGAAAUCCCUAUCAAAACGCGUCCGCCGCCCUUUCUUCCCAGAUAAGGGGCCGGGUUCAUGGAGCAGCGGGGGCCGCUUGCAGUCGAAAUAGGUUCCACUCAUCCCCUUUUCUCUGCGCCUUUUCCGCUCCGCAGCAUGUCUCUCGGCCAUGUGUUAGGAGGCGAGGUGUCGGCUCCCAUCUCCCGUGCCGCCGCAGCAUCGCCCUUCACCCCCCCCAAGCAGCCGACCUUGCUCUCUGGAAAAAGUUCUCCCUGAUACGGGGCUCCUCCUGUUACAUUCCCCCCCCCCCUUUUUUUUUUUUUUGGGGGGGGGGGAAGGGGCCCCCCGCGCUCGCGGCGAAGGUAAAUCUCCCGGCGGCGGAGCCUCCCCGACGGCAAAGGCUGGGCGCCGCGCCCCGCCGCUUCUCUCGUGUCCCCGGUGCUCUGGUUUUCCUCUUCCUGAAGCCCUGUGUACACAAAGGGCUUGCUUCUGCCUUUCAAUUAGGUGGCAGAGGGAGCGCCUACCGGAGGAGCCGGGGAUCUGCGAGGCGAGCCGGUGCCGCAGGAAAGCAGAGGGAUGGCAUUUACCCUCCCGGCCACCAAAGGAGGACAUGUGUGAACACAGCAUCUUUAGCACGAGGUGCCCAGCAGAUCUGA
rnacentral:lncRNA from 1 species